UGCUUCAGUGGUAGAAGCCUUGCCUACCACACAGGUGACCUGGGUUCAAUUCCCAG
rnacentral:tRNA from 1 species